rnacentral:rRNA from 14 species
GUUAAGUAAGGGCGUAUGGCGGAUGCCUAGGCUCUCAGAGGCGAAGAAGGACGUGAUAAGCUGCGAAAAGUUACGGGGAGAAGCACAUAUUUUAUGAUCCGUAAAUAUCCGAAUGGGGCAACCCACUAUACUGAAGGUAUAGUAUGCGAAAGCAGGCAAACCCGGUGAACUGAAACAUCUCAGUAACCGGAGGAAGAGAAAACAAAAGUGAUUCCGUUAGUAGUGGCGAGCGAACGCGGAUUAGCCCAAACCAGUGUUGUUACGGCAAUACUGGGGUUGUAGGACCACGAUAUUCGAUGCUAAGUGAACUGGAACUGUUUGGAAAGACAGACCAAAGAGGGUGAAAGUCCCGUAUAGGUAAGCGAAGUUAUUGAUAGUGGUAUCCUGAGUAGUGCGGGACACGUGAAAUCCUGUAUGAAUCCACCGGGACCAUCCGGUAAGGCUAAAUACUCCUGAGAGACCGAUAGUGAACUAGUACCGUGAGGGAAAGGUGAAAAGAACCCUAAGUAAGGGAGUGAAAUAGAACCUGAAACCGUACGCUUACAAGCGGUCGGAGCCCAUUUACUGGGUGACGGCGUGCCUUUUGCAUAAUGAGCCUACGAGUUGCUCGUAUCUAGCAAGGUUAAAUUUUAUUGGAGCCGAAACGAAAGUGAGUCUUAACAGGGCGCUUAGUUAGAUGCGGCAGACGCGAAACUUGGUGAUCUACCCAUGACCAGGUUGAAGCUACGCUAAUCCGUAGUGGAGGACCGAACCAGUUGACGUUGAAAAG